rnacentral:rRNA from 1 species
AUGCUUCAUUUUUUCAUUGUCUUCAUGCUUGCCGUAUCUGUUCCUCCGGUGGUGUGCUCUUCUGCAGCAAAUGGCAGCAGCAACCUGAAAGAAGGCCAAGAGCUCAGCGGCGGCAACAGGCUCAUCUCAAAGAAUGGCAAGUUCGCGUUGGGCUUCUUCACAUCAGGCAGCAGUAAGUCUUCCUCAGACAACACAACCUUGCCCAACUGGUAUGUAGGUAUAUGGUUCAACAAGAUCCCAAAGUUCACUCCUGUAUGGAUUGCGAACAGAGAGAAACCAAUCACUGACCCCAAGUUUAGACUGUCCAAGCUAAGAAUCUCAAGGGAUGGCAACCUUGUCAUCUUAAACCAUGCGACUAAAUCCAUAAUCUGGUCCAGUCAAAUAAUAGCAGCCAAAGGUAGAAGAACAGCCAACAAAAAUACUACCAUCAUGGCAGCACUCUCAGACGAUGGUAACCUUGUCAUAAGAAACGCCUUGAACCCAUCCAUUGUGUGGUGGCAGAGCUUUGAUCACCCAACAGAUGUUUUCCUCCCCGGCGCAAGGAUUGGCCGGAACAAGGUUACCGGCCAAAAAUACAGUCUUGUUUCGAAGAAGAAUCUGAUAGAUCCAGCUCCAGGCCUAUACUGCACGGAGCUAGACCCCACUGGUGAUCCGCAAUACUUUGUUAGGAUUUGUAAUUCAUCCAUGGUGUAUUUCUCCACGGGCGAAUGGGUCGGGUGGUACUUCAAUUUGGUGCCGGAGAUGUCUGGUAGUAACUUUCUCCAAACCAAAUUCAUCGACAAUGAUGAAGAGGAGUACUUCACUUACGCUCCAAUGGAUCCAACAGUGAUCACAAUCGGUUUACUUGAUGUCUCUGGUCUUACCAAGCAGCUUCUUUGGCUUGAAGGCUUGCAAGAGUGGGAAACUAUAUAUGUCCAACCCAGGGCUCCAUGCGAUGUUUUCGCCGUUUGCGGGCCUUUCACAGUUUGCAACGACAACACACUUCCAUUGUGUAACUGCAUGAAUGGGUUCUCCGUGAAGUCACCAGAGGACUGGGAGCUGGAUGACAGAAGAGGUGGAUGCAUGAGAAAUACUCCGCUAGAACAUUGCAGCAGCAACAAAGGUAACACAAGAGGGUUAACAGACCAGUUCUUUCCGAUACAUAGUGUUAGAUUACCUUAUUAUGCACAUAGAAUGGAAACAAUUGAGAGUGGACAAAGCUGCAUGCAAGUUUAUCUAAGAAACUGCUCAUGCACUGCGUACUCCUACGGCAAGAGUGGCUGUUCUAUGUGGCAAGGCCAGCUUAUUAAUGUAAAGCAGUAUAAUAAUGGCACUGUCAAUAGUGACGGAGAGAUUCUUUUCCUCCGUAUUGCUGCUGGAGAGGUGCAAAGUUGGGGAAACAACACAAAAGGAAAUAGAAGAAUGAUCAUCGGUCUCAUUAUUGGUCCUUUCUGUUUGUUGGUGAUGCUAUUGAUGAUUUGGAGGGGGAAAAGAAAGUGGUGUUCUCUUCCACUGAGCAGCACUGAAGGUGGAUGUGGCGUUAUAGCAUUUAAGUAUGUUGAUUUGCAGCAUGCAACUAAAAAUUUCUCAGAGAAGCUAGGUGUAGGUGGUUUUGGCUCUGUAUUUAAGGGAAUUCUGCGUGACUCGACUACCAUAGCGGUGAAGAUGCUUGAUGGUGCACGCCAAGGAGAGAAACAAUUCCGGGCUGAGGUCAGCACAAUUGGAAUGAUCCAACAUGUCAACUUAGUCAAACUGAUUGGUUUUUGCUGUGAAGGUGAUAGAAGGAUGCUUGUUUAUGAACACAUGGCAAAUCGUUCUCUUGAUGUCCAUAUAUUCCGAGGCAAUGGUUUUAUGCUAGAUUGGAGUACAAGGUUCCGAAUUGCCAUCGGUGUUGCUAAAGGAUUGUCCUACUUGCAUGAGAGUUGUCGUGAUUGCAUAAUACAUUGUGAUAUUAAGCCAGAAAACAUACUUCUCGAUGCGUCACUUGUUCCUAAAAUUGCAGAUUUUGGGAUGGCAAAACUUAUGGGAAGGAACUUUAGUCGCGUUCUGACAACAAUGAGAGGAACCGUAGGAUACCUUGCACCUGAAUGGAUUAGUGGAGUGGCUAUUACACAAAAAGUUGAUGUUUACAGCUAUGGAAUGGUACUGCUAGAAAUGAUAUCUGGAAGAAGGAACUCAUCACCUCAAGAAUGUACAAGCAAUAGUGAUCAUGAUGUUUACUUUCCUGUGCAAGCUGCACUUAAGCUUCUUGAGGGAGAUGUGAGGACUUUGGUCGAUCAACAAUUACAUGGUGACAUCAAUGUGGAGGAGGUUGAAAGAGCUUGCAAAGCAGCAUGUUGGUGCAUUCAAGAUCAUGACUUUGAUCGUCCGACAAUGGGCGAUGUGGUUCAGGUUCUCGAGGGUCUAGUAGAGCUUGAUAUGCCCCGAGUGCCAAGAUUACUUCAAGCUAUAUCAGGAAGCCCUUCUACAAAUUAA